rnacentral:rRNA from 1 species
UACGGAGGGUGCUAGCGUUGUUCGGAAUUACUGGGCGUAAAGGGCGCGUAGGCGGCCGUUUGCGUCGGAUGUGAAAGCCCGGGGCUCAACCUCGGAACGGCAUUCGAUACGGGACGGCUAGAGACCGGGAGAGGAGAGUGGAAUAGCCAGUGCAGAGGUGAAAUUCGUAGAUAUUGGCUGGAACACCGGUGGCGAAAGCGGCUCUCUGGCCCGGUUCUGACGCUGAGGCGCGAAAGCGUGGGGAGCAAACAGG